AACGAACGCUGGCGGCAGGCCUAACACAUGCAAGUCGAACGCAUCGCAAGAUGAGUGGCGCACGGGUGAGUAACACGUGGGAAUGUGCCCUUUGGUUCGGAAUAACGUCCGGAAACGGACGCUAAUACCGGAUGUCCCCUGCGGGGGACAGAUUUAUCGCCAAAGGAGCAGCCCGCGUCUGAUUAGGUAGUUGGUGGGGUAAAGGCCUACCAAGCCGACGAUCAGUAGCUGGUCUGAGAGGAUGAUCAGCCACACUGGGACUGAGACACUGCCCAGACUCCUACGGGUGGAAGCUGUGUGGAAGAUUGGACAAUGGGCGCAAGCCUGAUCCAGCCAUGCCGCGUGAGUGAUGAAGGCCUUCGGGUCGUAAAGCUCUUUCGCACACGACGAUGAUGACGGUAGUGUGAGAAGAAGCCCCGGCUAACUUCGUGCCAGCCGCCGCGGUAACAC
rnacentral:rRNA from 1 species